rnacentral:tRNA from 1 species
UCCCUGGUGGCUCAGACAGUAAAGUAUCUGCCUGUGACGCAGGAGACCAGGGUUCGAUCCCUGGGUUGGGAA